UCCCAACGCCAACUGAAUCCUAGCAGAGGUGUGGUUGCCUUUUCGGUUGUCACCGUUGGCAUCACCAGAUGGAUACAAGAAGAGAGAAGUUUUGAUGCUAAGGUUGACAGUCAUAAGUGGAGAGAUUCCUAAUCCAAUUAAGUUUCCAAUAUAUAUUCUCUUUGGAUCUGCUGAUUUUUCAUACUUUACAUUGUUUUUGGGCAGUACUGGUAACUGGCUUACAUCAGUGGUAUUUCAAAUGAAUGUGACAAUAAGA